rnacentral:rRNA from 1 species
AGCGAACGCUGGCGGCAGGCUUAACACAUGCAAGUCGAACGGGCACCUUCGGGUGUCAGUGGCAGACGGGUGAGUAACACGUGGGAACGUACCCUUCGGUUCGGAAUAACUCAGGGAAACUUGAGCUAAUACCGGAUACGCCCUUUUGGGGAAAGGUUUACUGCCGAAGGAUCGGCCCGCGUCUGAUUAGCUUGUUGGUGGGGUAACGGCCUACCAAGGCGACGAUCAGUAGCUGGUCUGAGAGGAUGAUCAGCCACACUGGGACUGAGACACGGCCCAGACUCCUACGGGAGGCAGCAGUGGGGAAUAUUGGACAAUGGGCGCAAGCCUGAUCCAGCCAUGCCGCGUGAGUGAUGAAGGCCUUAGGGUUGUAAAGCUCUUUUGUCCGGGACGAUAAUGACGGUACCGGAAGAAUAAGCCCCGGCUAACUUCGUGCCAGCAGCCGCGGUAAUACGAAGGGGGCUAGCGUUGCUCGGAAUCACUGGGCGUAAAGGGCGCGUAGGCGGCCGAUUAAGUCGGGGGUGAAAGCCUGUGGCUCAACCACAGAAUUGCCUUCGAUACUGGUUGGCUUGGGACCGGAAGAGGACAGCGGAACUGCGAGUGUAGAGGUGAAAUUCGUAGAUAUUCGCAAGAACACCAGUGGCGAAGGCGGCUGUCUG